UACAGAGGUCUCAAGCGUUGUUCGGAUUCAUUGGGCGUAAAGGGUGCGUAGGUGGCACUGUAAGUCGGGUGUGAAAUCCUGAGGCUUAACCUCGGAACUGCAUUCGAUACUGCGGUGCUUGAGGACUGGAGAGGAGACUGGAAUUCAUGGUGUAGCAGUGAAAUGCGUAGAGAUCAUGAGGAAGACCAGUGGCGAAGGCGGGUCUCUGGACAGUUCCUGACACUGAGGCACGAAGGCCAGGGGAGCAAACGGG
rnacentral:rRNA from 1 species